ensembl:lncRNA
GCAAAGUGGAAAACAAUUUAUGUUUCCAGGUUUCACAGUUGGUGCCUCAAAUCUUAAAAUGUUAUAGCAAUAAAAAAAUUAUUUUCUACAUCUCAAGAAAAUUUUAUCUGCUCUCCUUUAAUGAUAAUGUGAAUCAAAUGGUUCGACAUUCUGGUCAUAAAUUCUUACCCUCUGAGUGAGCAGGUUAGAUAUUUUUCAGAAUGCUUGAUGGGGCGUUGAAGAACCUUUCAGAGCUGUCAUGGUGAGCAAAUGGGGAGUCUACAGUGGUGGUGAGCUUGGAUUCCAGUAGUUUAAUGCAUCUACUCUCCCUCCCGCCUGAGGUCUCCCUGCUACUUCUUGCAAGCCAGGGCAUUUGGGAAAGAGUCCAAGCAGGCCAGAGAAAACAGAAGGAUGUGUGUGUUAGUCGCUCAGUUGUAUCUGACUCUUUGCCACUCGAUGGGCUGUAGCCUGCCAUGCUCCUCUGUCCAUGGAAUUCUCUAGGCAAGAAUACUAGAGCGGGUUGCCAUUACCUUCUUCAGGGGAUCUUCCUGACCCAGGGAUUGAACCUGAGUCUCCCUUAUUGCAGGCAGAUUCUUUACCAUCUGAGCCACCAGGGAAGCCCACAGAAGGCAGUGAACAUGUGCUGGCUAAGUUGCUCAGUCCUGUCCAACUGUUUGCAACCCUAUGGACUAUAGCCCGCCAGGCUCCCCUGUCCAUAGAAUUCUUCAGGCAAGAAUACUGGAGUGAGUUGCCAUGGCCUCCUCCAGGGAAUCUUCCUGACCCAGUCAUCAAACCCUGAGUCUCUUAUGUCUCCUGCAUCGGCAGAUCUGCUGCUGGUAUGGCUCCUGCAUACUCCGGUUCACGUCCUCUAUGCUUUAAUGUGCUGUGUCAUCUGUUUCCUUAUUUUCUGCAUUGGCUGCUCUCAGUAAUGUCGGAUGCAGAAGUCCUGGCUGCCCGCCACGUUGGACGACGAGGUGCACUGGCCAUCGCUACCAGUGCCUGAUGUCCAGAGAGCUAAUACUGCUCUGGGCUCCCAGGGCGGCUCUGCCACCCCCAGGCCGGCCAAAUGUUUGAGUCCUAUCGUAAAACGGCGUAGACGCAAGUUUGGAAAAUGCCCUUCCCCACUGCAGAGCAUUAUUUUUUUUCAUGAUAGAGGAGAAAGAAGAGAGGCAGCAAUGCCACUUGAAGUCAUCCCAUGACACUGGAAUGUGGACAGGACGGAGAGAGGCUUCCGAGCAUCAGUGAUG